GGACUCGGCUGACGUCACUGGGGGCGUUAACCGAAGGGGCGGGGUUACAGAGGCAGCGAGAGCGCUCGAUUUAGUCGCCAUCGGGCCCUGAAAGGAACGCUAUGGAAACUUUACAUUUUAUUUUAAAGCAUUAUAUAUAUUCUAUAGCAUUACUACUAGGCUGUAUACAUAGUUAACUGACAAUAUCUCAAUCAAGUGUCUUUCCACAUACUGGAUGCGUUUCCUGACUGUCUGGGGAUUUAAUCGUCUAUGGUCAGGAGCUGGCAUCUCAUCACAUACACAGUAACCCCUUUGCUCACUUCAGUGACUAUUCUUGCCCACGUCCCACAGGAAGAGACAACAUUCCUCGCAUUUUCUGAGUGGUGAGGUGAGGGAGGGGACGGUUUGGCAGUGGGGGGGUUAACCUUGCUGAACAGAAGGCCUCUUUAUAUCUCCUUUAAUGUUCUAUUUACCUGAUUACCUGCAUCCAGAGUAUCUCAAGCAGUUAUAUAGUCACUAAGAAACAUAUAAUGCGUGUUAUUUUAUUUCAGUUUCUUUUCAGUUUCAGUUUCAGUGGUACAGGCCCACAAGGUACAUAUAGUAUCAAGAUUGGGCGAUAUGCCAAAAUAUACUGCGUGAUGAUGAAGUUGUCCAUUUUGACCUUGCAGUCUUUUACAUCUGUGAAGAUUUUAAGCUACAUGAUCUAAUAUUUUAAUUUGUUAGACAUUUAGUUAGUUUUGAAUAAGCAGACAACCUUUUAUUAUUUAGUUAUUCGAUUAUUUAACUCGUUUCCCACAAUUUAAUAUAUAGGUCUGUUAAAACACAUGCUGCUGUUGUCUUUAAUUCACUGCACAGAGAAAUCAAGACCUAGGUAAUGGUUGUACAAUAACUACUUUAAGAAGACAAGUCAUUUAGACUGGGCCAAGGUGCAGAACUGGCCUUGGGUAAUUACUAACAGAUUGUCUUGGAAUUGUGUCCCUAGAGGAUCGUGGUUAGGAUGAAGAAUAUAAAAGCGAGAUAUGGGCCAUCCUCUUUUUGCAUUCCUGCCUUCUUCCUACUAAGUCAAAGAAGGAAAGCUCUGAGCUUAAACGAAAGAUAAGAGCUUAAUUAAAGUCAGGAGUCAGAGCUGAACGAGGAAGGAACUUGAGCACUUUCAUAAAAAUGUAAAAUACCUGUGGGACAGAACAAAACACGUGACCAUUUUCUAAUUACAUCAAUAUAUAAAUUGUGUGAGGCCAAUUCUGAGUAAGCACUUGCAAUGAGGAAGUGACUUGUUCAUCAACAUUUUUUUUCCUGUGAGUAGAUUACUAAUUGAUAGAUGUCUAUGAAAAUUUUCAUGUAGUCAGAUCAUUGCUAUAGUCAUAAAAGCUAAAACAUCUUUAAGCAGGUCCAAUUGCCACUGAGUGCCACAUCUGGGAUACUAGAGACAUCUAUAGAAUGUUCACUUUCAAACUUCUCAUCUAAAACCAUUUACUACCCUAUUAAAGAUAUUUAUGAACAUUGAACUGACAAAGUUAUUCCGGUGCGCUUCAAGAGCUGUGUCUGGCAGCCUAAAAAUCUGACUGUGAAGAGAACAUAGGAUGUUUGGUCAAGGGUCAAUUUAGCUACCAGAUGUUAACAUACCAGAAGAUUCAGGACAAGUUAGAUCAUUGCUUGUAUUAUAUAAUACCUUGACACUGAAGAAGGAUAAUAUUAUUAGACAGAUGUCUGUUCUUGCUUAUACAAUAUAGAUGCUGUGUAGUCAUCAUGUAGGCAUAUACUACUGUUUGUAAAUAGAUUAUUUUGGAAGGAAAGCAUUGAAUCACAGACCAGCAGCCUGAGCACCUCAAGCCUUCUCCUGCCUCUAAUCCACCUUGAGGAAAAGGCUGGUCAUGGGAGACUGUUCACACCCAUAACCACUUGUUAUGCAACCCAUUUGUGUGGGUACAGGCAAUAAUACAUAUGCAUAUCAGCACACCCUGCAUGCUGGCUGCAUGUGGUAGACAGUGUGCUUCCACUGAAUAGAUCCAAUGUUCCAGUGUGUAUUUGCAACCAGCUGACAUAACAGCACCCACUGUCUUUGGUAAGCCUGAUCUACUGGGGGCCCCUACGCCUGCAUUCCUCCCCAGCUGAGAUGCUUUUCCCUGGGGCCACUCACAGUGCACACAACCCUUAUGCCCUCACAUAGAGCAUGCUAUGAGAGGUAUGCGGUGUGUAAACUCCUCUCUACCUCCACUUUAGCCAUCACUGUGAGCCACAACAUAUCUCCCCUAUUUCAUCUCCUCUUACUCUUACACAGCAACAACGGAAACACUGAGAUAUUGUUCAUAUAUUUGAGGGACUAAUCAGCAAGGUCAUAGGGGCUGCAGAAUAAUGAGCCUGAGUAGAGGUCACCACAGUGCCAGAGAUACUCUACAUACUCUACUAUCUCAUAACUGGGACAAACAUUUUAAGUUGAGCUGAGAGAUGGAUUAUGCCUGCAUACAACCGGAGGAAUGUACUGUUAUGUAGUCAGGAAGCCACAGACUGCCAUACCCAAGUAAAAAUAAAUUACUUUCCGAACAAAUAAUGUUUCAAGGUGUUUUCGGGUACAUGCCGUUGCACAGCAUGCUACUGCUAUGCAGGAACAGGAACUGAAAAAACAAUUUAUGAAAACAGAAUACAGGUUUAUACUACAAAGGAAUUCAGUGAACCAUAGAUAAAUUACGCUGGCAUAAAAGCUUGCUCCUUGUGUUUUUGUGUGGGCUGGAUACAUGACAGACACACCCAGAAAUCAAACACCAGUUAGAGGAGACAGUAAUCCCCAAAUAAAUGUGUGUUUUGCUUUGGACAAUAAGUGUCCUAAGAAGAAAAUAUAUGACAUGAAUUUAAAGCUCUUUGGCUGCCUGUUAGUGACGAGACGACACAAAUUUCACAUGUAUGCUGGUCAAAGGUUCAAAUGUGUUUGAACAGACUUAUACAAUUUUGUGUGUACUUACUGCAGGCACUGCAGGUGAAGCAGGUGUCAUGGUAGAGGCUACCCAUAGCCUGGCAGGCCUGGUUGGCACCAUACACUGAUUUGUGACACUUUAUACAGAUUCCUGCAACAUAACACAGAACCCUCUGUUAGAACAGUCACAGGAGACACACAUUACUCAGUAAAAAAAUAGUAGAGACUCUAAUCUAAUUAAAGCUACAGGAAAACAACUGAGACAAAAAUGAAUUCAGGAAGCUGGUUGGAAGGCUACAUCACUAACAUAUUAGGCUUAUUUGACUUGGCUCAAAGACCGAGAUCUCUGUCAAUAUAAAACAUGAUAAAAAUCAAAGUCUUGCUACCAACACCCACAGUCCAUGUGGCUUCAUAUCAAGAUACUGGACUCCACUUAAUAUUAAUCCAUUGACUCAAAAAAUCCAAAAGAAUAUUAGAAACACUUAAGAAAAGUAAAACCUGUGUCUUUAACGACUCUGCAUAACUCCACUCAAUGGAAACUUGAGGUUUCCAUGUGAUCAGUAUGCAUCUUUCUUGAUGUGGUUUUCAACAGGAAGCACUCUCCUGAAGGCGCACAAAGAAAUACUUUAAUUUUUUUUAAAUACUUUUAAUCGCAUCUUCUGCUUACUAAUCCUCGCUUUUCACUGUGGGCAUAUUGGUUGGCAGAAUACAACACAUGACAAAUAGCAACCAUCAUCGCUACAGACUGUAGCAGGUUACUGUGUAGCUACUAAAUCGCAGCACAAAAAAAUGGGCUGUGUGCAAAUGUACAUUACCCACUAUGUGUGCUUUUUAAUUAUAUAUAUAUAUAUAUACAUGUCCUUGGAGACAUAGAAAUGUAGCUUACAGCAGAGCCCAGCCCAGCCUGGCUCAGCCCAGGACCUCCUCAAACACUUACAAAGAAACUUCUGUUGCCACUGUAUCAAACUCACAUCACGCGGCGGCCGCCGCUAAAAUUACACGCUGUUAUAUUUAAUAGCCUUCCUCAAAGACACUCAGUAACACAACAUACAACUGGGCUAUAUAUAAUUCACCCUAAGACACAACACAUCACCAGGGGCCCCAAUGGCUGGACAGAAGAUUUAGAGAUAACAGGGGAUAUUAUUGGAGAGCAAAGGAAUGUUGUUCUUAUGUAAGGUAUUUUGUUUACAUGAAAGAACAUAAAGCAGUCAUUUCUACGAGAACUGCUAGAAAGUCCUUCAAAUCACAUACUUGCAAAGACCUUUUGACACUUGUGUCAACAUUUAACAAUUAACAGGAAUAUUAUUAGAUAUAUAAAAAUGUUCCUGCAGAUUUAAUGUGUACAGUGUCCCUCCAGAGCAAAACUCUAGUAAAGGUCUGUUCUAUCUUCUGUUUGGAAACAGAAAAUCCUUCUUUUCACAGAAAAGUCGUCGCCAGUUGGGCCACUACAAAUUUGCUUUUGGCCAGACUCCCAUAUUCCAAAACAGCGUGAUUACUCAGGCAACUGACUGACUGCAAGUGGGGGGAGGGCAAGCAAAACAUGCAGCCUAAAGUGUACCCCUCCUAUCCCCCUCACCUUACCCAGCUGUCAAAGCACCUACAGUAGUAGACGGCUGCUUUUCACUAAAAUGCACUGACUAAACUCUAAACCCCAUCACAUGUUGUAUUUUUUGCACAUAUUUUUAAAUUGUUAAUUGUUAGUGGGUGGGAGCUUAAAAUAAUAAAAUGAAGUGUUGAUUACAGUUACAUCAUUAUAGCUACAUCUUUUUAUCCUCACAUUUAAUUGUUAAUUGUCAGUAUGUCAGUAUGUGUGGCUGAUUCUCUUUUAACAUCAAACAUUAAGAACAAGCAGCUGUGAAAGUACUUUUCAUUCUACCACUGAAGCAUGUUCAGAAUGAGGCAUUGAUUGGUCCACGUCAAGUAUCCAAAGGCUGAAACAACAGGAUAGGUCACGACAGAUGUUAUAGUACCUUUUGCACGAUAUGCAGAUAACAUCCUGGAGGGUCAUUUUUGUCUUGGGCAAAAAGAACCUGACAUCGGAUUUUCCUGGAAGAAAAACUAAAACAUGGACUUGUCCGAUGACAGAAGCUUUUGACACGAGCUCAGACUCAGUAUGGGGUGAGGUUUCUUCAAAGACUUGAUAGGGUGGAUGAAGCAACAAUAGUGGGAUUGUUGGUUUGGUUCCCAGCUGCUUCAUGUUUCCUUAAGCAAGGCACUGAGCCCUAAGUAAGGUCAGCUACACUUGCUACCAAUAAGGUACCAAGACUAUUGGUGUAAGGUUCCUUGGGUUUUACCUUGGGUAGUAUAGGUUUAGGUAUUUAGGUAUAUUUAGGUAUAACAUUUCUUAAUGUUGUGCUAAAUGAUGCUAAGCUACAACUAAAUACCAAUGCCAACCACAGUACUGCCUCAAUAUAGUGUAACAUUUAUGCACUGAGAUUUAAAUUAUUUUUUUCCUACAUUUUUUAUUGGAUGACACCCUUCUUCAUCCACAUUCACGUUAUUAAUAGCAGGAUAGUUAAAGUAUUUAAAAUAUUUAGUUUUGAAAUAGAAUUUUCAAUAUUUACUGAUUACAUUAACAUAACUACUUAAUUUUUUUCAGCCUUCCUUCUAAAAAGUAAUGCAAUUAAAUCAAACACCCAAGGCAUUGGAGAAUAUUACAUGCACACACAACCACAUACUCACUAACACAAGCAUAAACACACACACCCUCGAUGAGCCCGCUAGACCAGAAGCCAAGAAUCCCUGGGAAGAGUUAAGACGAAGCUUUACACUCAACAGCCAGAUGGGAUAAAUUAAUCCUCCAUCUUAACACAACACUAAAUGCUCCACUAAAUGUGUGAGUGAAAGUCAGGGGAAGGGGAAGGAAGAAUGCAGGGAUGUCCCACCACUUAGCCCUGCUAGGAUGAACUGUCUAUAAAUCUUAUAUCCUCUCUGGCUCUUGUGGCCAAGGACAAAGACGCAUCCAAGAACUUGUCCCUAAAUCCCUGUGUUUGUCUACUCAUCCAUUCAGCUGCACUGCAGGCACCCCUAAAGUCAUCUGGGACUCCCCCAUUCUUUGUAUUUUGGGACCUCAUUACUAAAAUUCCUUGCUCUCUUCCUUCAGACAUUCUUCAGCGUUCCCCUGGUGCAGCCAUUUGGCACUGGACUAAUUUUCCCAGAACCUUCAACUGCAGUUAUGCCAAUUAGUAUCAAGUAUACAGUUGGAAAGCCUGUUGAACCCUAGAUCUAUACUGUAUACAGUACAGACACAUUGCAGAUCUGAUACAAAUUUUAGAACUUUUAAAAGCAUUUCAGUUACAUUCAGUCUUGAUGGAUACAAAGAAAGGUAAACUCCCAGAAACCUAAUAUGCAAAUACAAAUUACAUGUGUAAAAAAGUGUUCAGAAAAGUCUUAUAAACUGUGAUAAUUCCUUCAAAUAGUUUAGACUGCAUUAGGAAGACAUUAAAGUUUUCUUUCGUAAACUAGCCUACACAUGUUUUUUUUCUGGCACAAAAGCAUGACUCAGAGUAUGAGCCAUGUUCUGGUGGGAAACUCUGUAGAGCAGCCGUGUGUGGGCUGUGAGCAGAAAAAGGAAACACACUGUAUAACUCUUAAACCUGGUGGCAUUCCCCAGAACAUCUUCCUUUGCACAUCAAUAUAGGCAUACAGCAGAGCUGAGGACGGCUGUGAAGUACAAUCCUGACAUCGCGCAGCAAAAAUGCCAAGAGGGGGUGUUUUCCCCAUCUUGCACUCUUUCCCCUCCCACCACCUGUCCUUCCUAAAGUAGUCUAAUUCUAAUUUUCAUGACAGGCCUUAGCUCCAAAUACCUGGCCAUCAGGUGGGCUCCAGGAACACCCUCAUGACAUUAUGUAUUAAAUAAAAUCUUAGCUGGUAUUGAAAAGCCUGCAGCACAUAUCUGUAACAAUGUCAUAUAAAAAACAAACCGUACCACUGUCAGACAAUCUAAGUCUGCUGAAAAAAAAAACAAAAUUCUGAAACUCCUUUUCAACAGCACACAGCUCAGGCAGACGUGACCCAGCUCUAAUGAGUGUAGCUGUGAAAGUUGCUUCAAUCUUAUGGAGGCCAUAAAUCUUCUUCUUGUCCUUGGCCCCACCUUUUACUACUGAAAGGUUGGUGCAGCUGCCAAGAGCUUAGACAGUGAAUCAUUUAAACAAUGUUAUUCUAUCUACAAUCAACAGAAGAAAAGAAAGCAUCCAGCAUCUGCCUAAUAGUACCAUUAAGGUGUGAUAUAAAAUGUGUGUGUCUGUGUGUUGGGGAUGCAGAGAGGAAAUAGUGUGAAGGUGACAAGGUUUAAAAGCAUAAACUUGACAUCUACAAGUGCAUUUAUGUUGUGAGGUGUGGGUGGGUAGUUCUAUCAUUCAAUAGGCUUCACAGGAGAGGCUUUUUGAUGCGAUUGGAUGUCUAAAUACAGUAUCUUACCAAAGUAGUCUGCCUUUGGUUGGGCAUCCAUCUCUUUUUCCAACUGUUUAGUGAGCGCUUCUAACUUUACUUCAGCUGCUGAAGGCCCCUGGUCAGAGGUUUGUGCGAGGAGAGACUGGCAGGGUCGUUGGACAGCUUUAGGGGAACGAAUGACUUCACUUUCGGUGCUGGCAGCCUGUGCAGAGCUGGGUACUUGGACGAGACCUUGACCGUGGCUUUUAGAGAUGUCACCAUGGUUCAAGCCAGUAGACGUCACCUGUGCUUUGAGUUGAGAAGGCACCGGUAACACAGUGGAAGCUGGUAGAGAACCAUUAUGGCCAGUGUGGCUAGUGGAGGAUCUUGGAGUUGGAGAAUGUGACGCAGAAUGAGCUGAUGGCUGUAUGGAAACCUGCUGCACGCAUGAAUCCGCUCCCCCUGUGAAGGCGCUCAGGUGAAGGGCCGGGAUGAGGUCAGGCUUUGCUGAGGUGGAGUGCCCUCCAGCCCAGGCCCUGGCUGGUCCAUCAGGGGAGGGUGCACUCUGGUUUAUGGUGGAAGCAACUGCGUGAUUUUGCUGGUUGGCUGUAGAAAGCGCAGGCAGGGGCUGGGGCUGCUGCUGAGAUUCACAUCUGCUCCCAGAGUCACUGAGACACGAGGAAAGUUGGCCGUCUGUGGACGGGGCCCAGGCAGCCGGCGGGCUGACAGGGUGACGAGCAUGUGUGGGCGCGCCGCGAGACGCGCUUCCUGGGCUGGACGGAGCAGGGGCGCUGUGCUGGUAUGGCUGCGGCUCUAAACGCUCCUUAUUAUCGUAAUUGUUUCCGUGGCCAUAAGCCCUGCCAGCUGGAGGCUCCGACGUGUUCCCCGUGAGGUGUUUCUGGCCGUCAAGCUGCGCGUACUGAUUCCCAGGCACGGUGCCCGGCACGGGGCCAGACAGUAUCGGAGGCUUCGCCGCCGCUUCAGCCGGUCUGUGACUGUUGAUGGGCGGUCUGUCUUUGGUGUAAUGUGCGCUGCCGUGGCCCCCAUUCAUUUUAACCACCUGGUUGCCUUUCGCCAACUCCUCCUGGUGCUUCUGCAUGUGGAUUUUACUCAUUUUGGAGGCGAACACUCUUCUUGUCUCUUCAAAGUCGGGGUUAUUUCCUGCAUCUCUCCUCAUGCGAAACAAACCAUCCCUAGAAGCUUCAUACAUGUUCAGGUCCUCGAUAAACUUACUCGCCUCAAGUCCUAAAUCCUCGUAUUUAUCCAUUGUGAAGUAACGUUGAGCGCGUCGCCCCGGUAAAGUGAGGUACGUGUAGCUUAAGCCUGUUAAGCUAACACUUCAAAAAAUGGUGCUACCUUCAAGUGAAUUAUUAACGUCGGCUGUGGGUCCAGCUCGCGCGCCCCAGACCGUGAGAAAAACUUUUUUUUCGGCUACUCCCAACUUUUCCGUUUCUUUUACGGUCCAGCACGAAGCGUAAAAGUUUAAAAGUCCGUUCGGAAAUGUCCAGUCGGGGUCCAGCGUUAACUGCCCCGAACCAGCCGCCGUGUGUCCGCUUAUAAACGUGAGCAGCUCCGCUCCGAUAGCCCGGGCGACCCCACCAGCUCCCCCCUCCUCCUCCUCCUCCUCCUCCUCCUCCUGCUGCUGCUGCUGCCGUACAGUCCCGGCAGAGAAGCUUUCGUUCAAAACUUUAUCCUCGGCACCGCUGUCCAAAGAUCACUUCAAACUUGUUAACAUAGCGGACGCGGGGUUAAUGCGCGGAUUAAAUAGCUGGCCGCCCGCGAAUCAGCGGCGCGUGGGACAACCGUUGGCGCGCGCGACCGACGGUUGGGACUGAAGACCGGGAACCGGGUGCCUUUAAAGGCGCAGCGCUCACAUCCAGAGUCGGGAGCGGCGUUGAAUAACAAUACAGUCAAAAACUAACCCUAGAACCUUUGAUUACGGAAAAAUAUUCUAUACUAAUUUAUGAUGAAGAGGAAAUAAAGUUUUUCUUUUGACGACAAAGGUGUAGAUGCUUGUUUAUUGUUUGGGCUUUUUGUUUGUUGGUAUAAAUGGCCAUUCUUUAUUGAUAUGUUUUCUUUCUUCAGUAGUUAUUGUUUAUUUAUUGCAAGGUUGUAAUCUUUACGUAACAAACACAUACACACACAGGUGUUGCCUGAGAAAUUAUCACAUAUUAUUGAUCUGAUUAUGUGUCAAUGGAAUGGGUGGAACAAGCCCCACAUGGUUGUGUUGUACUGGGGGUGAACGGGACUGAGCAUCCUCUGUUUUGUUAGAAUGAUGUCACGCAUUCCUGGCGCUCGUGAAACGUCCGUACAACCGUACAGUGGCCCGUCCACAAUGUGUCCUGACCCCGGCUGGAACAUGUGAGCCAUCGUUGGGAUACGGGAUGAACUCAUAAUGUGCAUGGAAACAAGCUCAGUCACAAGGCAGCACAUUCUGUAUCCUGGCCUGCGUGUGCAUAUAUUGUUAUACAGCUCAUGUUAAUGAAAAAAAUAUGGAGGCAGCGUGUUGAAGGCGGACUCCAGUCUGCUGCUGAUGCUGUAAUUAAAACAGAAUGUUUAUAAGGCACAGCCAUCUGUAUUUUUAGGAAACAGUCACAACAGAAGAGCAUUUACUUCAAGAAAGAGGCGAUAUUUAAGUACAUUUACUAACAACAACACAGGCAUACUAGGUAUUAAUUAUAUGUCCAACAAUAAGACCCGGGCAUCUGAAAAUGCUACAGUGCUCACUCAGUUGUGCCUAAUUGAGCUCAACGUUGUUGUAAAACCGCCAUCUUUUAUAAUUACUUAUUGCAAGACUGAAUUGAGCUUCACUGUUCCAACGUGUGACAAUAACAGCAGGGGUGUUGAAAAACGUGAGCGUGUUUGGUUUCAGCAGUUAUGUUAGGACUUCUCCUCAAGAGAAAAAUAGAACAGUAAAGAACUUUGUCAAUCGUCAUUAACACCACACAGCUUUACUAUUGGAUCUGAAAUCAUAAAGGGGAAUGUAUAAUAUUAUCAAUUUAAGAUUAUUAUCUGCUGUUGUCAUGUGCAACAAUCAUCUUUGUGCAUCUUUGCACUGUGCAGGUCAACCUGCACAGUGUACAACACAUUAUAUUAUAACAGCUAAAUCUGCAUAAAAGCAUGUGGAACUGCAAAGUUUGGUCAAAUAUAAAUGCAGCCCAAAUUACUUUUUGUGGGACUUUUACUAUGAAGCAUAUGUGGUUCCAAAGUAGAUACAGCCACUCUGUGCUGAGUGCUUUACAACAACUGCUCUGCAUUGCUGAAUAUGGAUGUAAGUGACUAGUUUGUGUCAGAUAAAAAGAACUUUUUGUGAAAUACCAACCAGUAACACACUCACAUAACUUUAAAUGCAUACAUGCCAUAGUUAUACAUAAAUUAUUAUUCAUAUAUAACUAUGGAAAAAUCCUGUGUCCACAGUGGGGUUGGCCUUAAUCCAAUUAAGGGGGCUAAUCAAAGUCUGCUUAUACAGUGAACUCACACCAGAAGCGUCCGCUGAUCACCAAAAACCAGGCUUGACGUCAGCCUACAAGAUAAUGAGCGGUGGCAUUGUGUCCCCUGAGAGAGCAAACAGUUCUGCACUGGGCCUGCAUUGAUGCAGUGGAGGGUGAGCAAGUGGCGCUAUGCAUUCGGCCCAUUUUGUUCUUCCUCCACCAGCAGAGUUCCUCAAGAGCAAGGGGAGUGAUUUCCCCAACUGAAAGACAAGCCACGCUGUGCAUCUCACGUGUGAGGAAGACGAUGGCUGUGGUCCGAUGAAAAAGCAUGAUCAGAAUACUGUCGUCUAUCCCGUAAUCCCAGUUGUCAUGGAAACUGCAGUGCUGUUGCCUCAAGGGGCCAUGAGUGAUCGAACUCAUUAUUAGAGAAAUGCGUCAAUAUGGUUUUGUUCCAUGAGAGCAGCGUUUAAGAGCGAUCUGCUACUAAAUGUGUAUUUACGUGAGUGGCAUCUUCUGCCUGACUUCCUCUUAUGGGCAUUUGUGACCCGACUAAUAACAGCUACAGUGUUGCCCUUUUCACUGACACAGCAACUUCACCUCAUUGUUCAGGCCAGUUCAAGUUCAGACCUGUUUAUCAGCUUGUGUUACUAGGCAGCAAAGUGAAAAAGGAGGCUAUGAAAGAGCUGCAGAAAUAACAAAAAGAGGAAGAGAUCAUGUGAAAAAAAUACUUCCCGUAAAACUUUUCAUAGAAACAGUGUGAUAGUAUGAGAGGAAACGCCCCUCGAUACUUGCCGAGUACUCACUAAUCCGCAGUAUGAUUUCAGAUUUUUGUUGUGGCAACAUCUGGCUGAGAUAACACACAGAAUUUCAGACAAUGCAGACAAUAAUAAACAGAUUGGGUUAUUUGCGCUCUACCCUUUUAUUCCUGGUUUCUCUUCCUGUUAUUCUAUCUCUCUGGUCAGCCUUUUCCUGUCACCUGAUGGUCAGAGAUAGCUCACAGAAAAAUAAAAAAAAACUAGGCAAAUUAGAACGGAAGCCUCCGUUUAUGCUACUGUCCAUGUGUUUUAAAAUGUAUAAUGCUUUAAUUAAGAAAACCCAUUGUUUAAACAAAGAUGUAGCAUAAUUUAAGCAGCUGACCAUCACAAGCUGUAAAAACAAAAGCCGCUGCUAAAACAGUUGCUGCCUUCGCAAAAUUGAAAAGCAUUCUACUUUUCAUUAUCACAGCCCUUCUUGUUCUUGGACAAAAAUAUGUACAGCUACAAUUUUAACUUUGCGGUUACAGAGAAUCUUGGCUGAACUACAGACGUGGGCACUGGAUGUCGUGUGCUGAUCAGAUAACUGCUUACGCACCGAGCCUUUACAGAACGGGGCCAGUGGGUGUACACGUGGAUGAUUUCAGUGCUGCUGGCGUGUGUUCUGUCAGGACAGCACAAAUGGCUGAGUCAUGUUGACCCAGAGUUGAUACAGCGACACCAAAGCGGUGAAUGGACUGGCUGUGCAGCACCGGCCAACCAUGAUGUGGCAGCGAGCUGGACAUUUCAGCCCACCUUUGGCUCCUCGGUCGCCUCUGACAGGCGGCUUUCUGACGGCGCCCGCGUCCAGUGAGCCACGCAGGAGGCAUCCGUGGCUAAAAGCAGCAGCAGGGGCGGAGGCUAACACUGAUAAGGCGAUUCAGUCCAGGAGUCCUGGAUGAGUAACACUACAGCCUCCAUAGAACGAGCAAGCAGAUGACAUCACCUGAACUCAAACACAAUUAUUU